UGGUGGAGUGAUUUGUCUGGUUAAUUCCGUUAACGAACGAGACCUUAGCCUGCUAACUAGUCGAUUCAAUCCCGAUUGACUUCGACUUCUUAGAGGGACUUUGUGGCCAACACAAGGAAGUUUGAGGCAAUAACA
rnacentral:rRNA from 1 species